CAAUAGCGUAUAUUAAAGUUGUUGCAGUUAAAAAGCUCGUAGUUGGAUUUCUGGUAGGAGCGACCGUGCCGAACUUGAUUGUUCGUGUAUUGUGUUGUCUUCAGCCAUCCUCGUGGAGAACUUUUCGGGCAUUAAUUUGUCGGGAUUGGGACCCGCGUCGUUUACUGUGAAAAAAUUAGAGUGUUUAAAGCAGGCAAUCGCUUGAAUACAUUAGCAUGGAAUAAUAAGAUAGGACUUUGGUACUAUUUUGUUGGUUUGCAUACCAAAUUAAUGAUCAACAGGAACAGUUUGAGGAUAUUCGUAUGAACAUGUCAGAGGUGAAAUUCUUGGAUUUUGAUCAGACGAACUACUGCGAAAGCAUUUAUCAAGGAUGUUUUCAUUAA
rnacentral:rRNA from 1 species